rnacentral:rRNA from 1 species
ACUCCUACGGGAGGCAGCAGUGGGGAAUAUUGCACAAUGGGGGAAACCCUGAUGCAGCCAUGCCGCGUGUGUGAAGAAGGCCUUCGGGUUGUAAAGCACUUUCAGUUGUGAGGAAAGGUUGGUAGUUAAUACCUGCAAUCUGUGACGUUAGCGACAGAAGAAGCACCGGCUAACUCCGUGCCAGCAGCCGCGGUAAUACGGAGGGUGCGAGCGUUAAUCGGAAUUACUGGGCGUAAAGCGUGCGUAGGCGGAUGAUUAAGCGAGAUGUGAAAUCCCGGGGCUCAACCUCGGAACUGCAUUUCGAACUGGUCAUCUAGAGUACUGUAGAGGGUGGUGGAAUUUCCAGUGUAGCGGUGAAAUGCGUAGAGAUUGGAAGGAACAUCAGUGGCGAAGGCGGCCACCUGGACAGAUACUGACGCUGAGGCACGAAAGCGUGGGGAGCAAACAGGGAUUAGAUACCCUGGUAGGAUAG